rnacentral:rRNA from 1 species
AUGAACAAAACAUCAACAAUACAAAACUUGCGUCCAAAUUGUUCUUCUCCCUAUGCACAAUCUUCAGAACUCUUAACGCGAUCAGCAGUUGAUGCCACACUGCUUCACGUCAGGCCCCUUGGCCUUGACGGUGAAGGGGUCGAUCCUGACCCAGAGCAGGGAGAAGAUGGAGGCGAGCAGCACGGACCAGAUGAUGACGAUGGUGGGCGUCCUGUUCUGCCUCCCCAUGAGACCCUUGAGGAACGGGUAGAGAUGCACGAUCACCCAGAAGGCGAAGAAGAGCUUGCCGAAGAGCGGGCCCCACGACUGGUACCCGUUGUUGAUGGCGUCGGAGAUGCCCGCCACCACGCCGAUGAUGUUGAUCACCAGCAGCGUCGUCGGCGGGAUGAGGAGGGUGGUCCACUUGAAGGCGUAGAGCUCCGCAAACUCGUCGUCCUCGUCUCCCGUGGCCUUGGAGGUGACGGUGAAGUUGGUGUCGAUCCCGGCCAGGACCUUGAGCAGGCCCUGGAUGACGGCGAACAGGUGCGCCGACACGCCGCCGAUGACCCAGAACUGCUCGUUCCUCCACCACUCCUCGAUGCUCACCCCGCUCCACCGCAGCUCCAGGAUGCCCGUCGCGAAGAUGGAGAUGAAGAGGGAGAUGAAGAAGAGACUGGCGAAGCGCUCGAGCCACUUGAGGUUGCCGCCCUUGUAGCCGUAGAGCAACGGGCUGUGCCGGCUGAAGAAGAUCUCCACGGACCCCAGCGCCCACCGCAACACCUGGUUGAGACGGUCAGACAGGUUGAUCGGCGCCGACCCCUUGAAGGCCGCCAGCUUGGGCAUGCAGUAGAUCGACCGCCACCCGCGGCAGUGCAUCUUGAACCCGGUCAGGAUGUCCUCCGUGAUCGACCCGUAGAUCCACCCCAACUGCACCCCCAGUCAGUCUUGUCCUCGUAG